AUUGAACGCUAGCGGCAGGCCUAACACAUGCAAGUCGAGCGGAGCGGCGGACGGGUGAGUAAUGCCUAGGAAUCUGCCUGGUCGUGGGGGAUCACGUCAGGAAACGGGCGCUAAUACCGCAUACUAUCAGAUGAGCCUCGGUCGGAUUGGCUAGUUGGUGGGGUAAAGGCCUACCAGGGCGACGAUCCGUAACUGGUCUGAGAGGAUGCUCAGUCAAAAGGGAACUGAGACACGUUCCAGACUCAAAAGGUAGGCAGGAGGGGGGAAUAUUGGACAAUGGGCGAAAGCCUGAGCAAGCCAUGCCACGUGUGUGAAGAAGGUAUGCGGAUUGGAAAGCACUUUAAGUUGGGAGGCGUUACCAAAAGAAUAAGCACCGGCUAACUUCGUGCCAGCAGCCGCGGUAAUAC
rnacentral:rRNA from 1 species